CCCCCUACAAAGCGGCCCAUGGGGGUCUUUUAAGUGGCCCCCGAGCUGCCCCUGAACCGAGACAUCCGCUCGGCGAGUCCCUGCGCACUGCGCUAAACCGGUGAAGCGCAGUGUGGGGACUCGCCUCUGCGGUGCCGGAAAUCGUGUCUGUGCAGACGCAGACGCCGGUGUUGCAGGAACGCCCCCACCCAAUCAUUCAGUUUGUACAAACUUCACACACACACUCACACCCUACAUACGCUACGCUUCUGUUAUAAAUUCAUAGAAAAUCAACCAUACAUUGGAUUUGCACUGUUCCACUUUUAUUUUACUCCAUGAAGGAAGGACUACAAAAUAGGGAAGGUUUGAUAUAGGCCAGCCAUAAUCCCUUGAGCACACCAGCACCUACACAGGAGCCCUGCCCAGUUGCUAUGCCAACCCUGGUGGUCCUAGACAGAAGACCAUCAAGGUCACAAAGAACUUGCAUAUGGGAGUGGAUUCAGCACGGACUGGAACAAAGGACAAUGAUCAGAUCUUCCCUCAGGGGGCAGGAAACUGCAAACUCGCCUUUGUCACCUGGAAAGUACUCAUGGGGAAGGGGGAAAGGAGGAACCAGCCAGGUGACAAGAGACUCAGGUUACCUCCACAACUCCUCCCUCAACCCCUCCUUUUGGUGAUGUAGUUGUGAUGUAGUCUUAGGGGUGUAGUUUGGGGGAUUAGCAACUAAUAAAAGUUGGGGUCUUCUUUUGUUCUGGGCUUCCAUUUUGCUUCAUCUUGUUGUGGGUGGGAGUCCUGUCAUGACAGUUUCCAAUAAAGGCCAAGCCUACAGGCUGCUGUUUUGCUCCAAAUUGUCCUGGUUGGUGUCUUUGUUUUUUGCCCAAGGGAGCCCUCAGAUUCCUCCGUUAACACCAGAAAUCCUGGGAGUGCGUGCGAUCCGGCCCUCGGAGGGCUCUCUGCUGGAGUGAACCGGCCCAGGCGAGGUAAACCUUGCUGACCCCUGCUCUCACUGAAGACAGCUUCCCGAAGUUUCCUCCCAUGGCAUCUGCCUUCCUCCUUUGCAAUGCCUUGCAUGCCUGCAGGGGAUCAGGAAAAUGAUUUUUUCCCCAGCCCAUCUAAAUUUCGUGGCUCAGCAACAGACUUCAAAGGACAAAGGGAAGCACAAUAAAUGAUGGCUGAGAGACCAGUGUGUACAAAAAGAUAAAGGUACUAGCAAAAGAGAUCCAAUUUACCUUCCCCCCCCUCCACCAGCCCCACGUACCAGGGUGAAAUCUGGCUACCAAACCAAUUGCUGUUUGUUUAGGGAAGUUUGGGAGAGCCUUGUGCAAUCUGCAGGUGGCCCUUUC